rnacentral:rRNA from 1 species
AUACGUAGGGUGCAAGCGUUAAUCGGAAUUACUGGGCGUAAAGCGUGCGCAGGCGGUGAUGUUAGACAGAUGUGAAAUCCCCGGGCUCAACCUGGGAACUGCAUUUGUGACUGCAUUGCUGGAGUGCGGCAGAGGGGGGUGGAAUUCCGCGUGUAGCCGUGAAAUGCGGAGAUAUGCGGAGGAACACCGAUGGCGAAGGCAAUCCCCUGGGCCUGCACUGACGCUCAUGCACGAAAGCGUGGGGAGCAAACAGGAUUAGAUACCCUGGUAGUCCACGCCCUAAACGAUGUCAACUGGUUGUUGGGAAUUUACUUUCUCAGUAACGAAGCUAACGCGUGAAGUUGACCGCCUGGGGAGUACGGCCGCAAGGUUGA